rnacentral:lncRNA from 1 species
GGGGAACUGUAAAUACUGCCUGAACCACCUAAAAAUCCCAAGAUCUUGUAAAUUACAAAGCAGUGGAGAGGAAGUUUGUUGACAGACAUGAAGGAGAUGAGAAUCCGGGACACAGUUUUGCUGCAUUGCAGACAAAUGCUAAAUCAGCCUCCUGAGCCAGACACAGCACUCAAGCUUUCAACAAAAGGCCUCAAAGUCCUCUUUGACCUCAUCAUGGCCAGAAAUCUCAUUGCUGCCUCUGCCAGGUCAUAGAUUUUAAGAAGUGGACUCACCAUGAGCCUUCAAGCCAAUGUCGUUUUUGCAUGGACCACAGGACUUGCUGACAUCAGUUCCUGCUUCAAGUCCAAAGACAAUGGUUGGAAUAAAACAGAUCAUUUUGGAAAUAUUUCCAGUAUACACAUUCUCAACCCAGUAUUAGUUGUU